ensembl:misc_RNA Metazoa_SRP Metazoan signal recognition particle RNA
GCUGGGCAUGGUGACGCAUGCCUGUAAUCCCAGCUACUCAGGAGGCUGAGGCAGGAGAAUCGCUUGAACCCAGGAGGCGGAGGUUGCAGUGAGCCGAGAUCAUGCCACUUCACUCCAGCCUGGGUGAAAAAGCAAAACUCUGUCUCAA